GACGUAGGGCGCGAGCGUUUGUCCGGAUUUAUUGGGCGUAAAGAGCUCGUAGGCGGCUUGUUACGUCGACUGUGAAAAACCCGCGGCUCAACUGCGGGCCUGCAGUCGAUACGGGCAGGCUAGAGUUCGGUAGGGGAGACUGGAAUUCCUGGUGUAGCGGUGAAAUGCGGCAGAUAUCAGGAGGAACACCGGUGGCGAAGGCGGGUCUCUGGGCCGAUACUAACGCUGGAGGAGCGAAAGCGUGGGGAGCGAACAGG
rnacentral:rRNA from 1 species